UACAGAGGUGGCAAGCGUUGUCCGGAAUUAUUGGGCGUAAAGAGCUCGUAGGCGGUUUGUUGCGUCGGCUGUGAAAUCCCGAGGCUCAACCUCGGGUCUGCAGUCGAUACGAGCAAACUAGAGUGUUGCAGGGGAGACUGGAAUUCCUGGUGUAGCGGUGAAAUGCGCAGAUAUCAGGAGGAACACCGGUGGCGAAGGCGGGUCUCUGGGCAACAACUGACGCUGAGGAGCGAAAGCGUGGGGAGCGAACAGG
rnacentral:rRNA from 1 species